AUUAGCAGAAUGCAUGCAUUGUUAUUGUCGACAACUAUUGGUAUGUCACCAAAAGGGCAAUAUGGUGGUGUUUCCUAGUGAAAGGUGUACAAAACUCUUACAUUAUUUUCACAAAGAAGAGCCAGGCUAGUAUACAAAUGCACACAGGUGUUUCCUAACGAAAAAGGGGACAAAACGCUUACAUUGUUUUCACCAAGAAGAGCCAGGCUAUGAUACAAAUGUUUGUGUGUAUAUAUACCGACAUAUACUUAGAGCAUGUAUCAUCACCAUAUGCUACUGCGUUCUCUUCUUCCUCUCUGAAGGUUGUCACGUAUUUAUUUGUUAACUAUUGCUUUCAAAAAUUUUCCUUUUAACAUUUCAGUAGAUUGUCUGCUGCUCGGUUGGUAUGUAGUGCAUCGAUUAAGAUAUCUGCUUAGUAUGAAAGUAUGAUAACAUUAGUUCGAAAUAACAUGUUAUGUUUCUAUUGAUUAUGUCAAUGUUGCUCAACUAUAUAUUGAUCCUUAUUGGUGUCAUAACAGGUACUAAAGGGAGAAAAGCUAAGGAUAGUCCGUGAUCAUGGCUGCCCCUGCCCCUGCCCCUGGCCCUAGAAUAGUAUAUGAUGACAUGAUUGGGGAGUUUUGUCAUGACGCAAUGGUUGAUCUGAUGCUGGAGGAAAAUAUAGAUAUAACAGAUGUAAGAAUAUAUCCGAUGAACCGCUCCCCAUCUCCAAUCCCACCAGGAGAGGUAUAUCUUAUUAUCUACUACCAGCCCAACGACGAAAACAAUGCCAAUACCAUUUGUUGGCCGGCUCCGACUGUUUAUUAUAAUCAUGGUAUGGCUCCAGCUCAGCCGCCUAUGCCAGAUAUGUGACAAUUGGUUAGGUUGCCUAGCAAAGGCUACCUUUAUACAUUUUUAUGCCUUGAUAUAUGACAGGCAAGCAUCAAUUGUAUAAGCCGAAUGAGUGUGACAUCUGAAGUUCCUUUUGUGGUUGAUUUCAUGAGUACGUGUCUGUGACGAAUCUAUUGUGUAGUGUCCUACUCAAUAUAUGUAAUAAUAAAGAAUAAGAUGUCUUGUGUUGACGAGUAAUGUAUGUCAGUCCCUUUAGACACAAUUAUGACAUGAUUGACACUAGUACAAAGAAGCUCUGUACAUGUGGUUUGUAACCCAUUUGCACAAGCGUUUCUCAGAACCGCUGGCGCAAGAGGCCAGUGGAAAUAGAUCUUUUCGCUAGCGGUUAGCUGAGAACAGCUAGUGGAACCGCUAGUGGAACUACUAGCGGUUCAGUUAAGACAACCACCUGUGGACAUAUUUUCAUAGGCGACAGUGAAAAUGCUUGUUCAGAAAAUAGAAAUUGGAUUUUAAAAAUAGGAAAAAAAAAUAAAUCCUAGGCCCACUAGCUAGCUGUCCGCCCGUCUCCGUCAAAAAUGUAAGUCACGAAUUCUUUCACGUAAAAUAGCGUUUCUCAGAACCGCUGGCGCAAGAGGCCAGUGGAAAUAGAUCUUUUCGCUAGCGGUUAGCUGAGAACAGCUAGUGGAACCGCUAGUGGAACUACUAGCGGUUCAGUUAAGACAACCACCUGUGGACAUAUUUUCAUAGGCGACAGUGAAAAUGCUUGUUCAGAAAAUAGAAAUUGGAUUUUAAAAAUAGGAAAAAAAAAAAAUAAAUCCUAGGCCCACUAGCUAGCUGUCCGCCCGUCUCCGUCAAAAAUGUAAGUCACGAAUUCUUUCACGUAAAAUAUCACACUACAUAGCCGGCAGGAUUCGAACCCACGACCUACAUGUAGCCUCCUCUACCACUUUACCCAUCAUUCACUUGUGUUUAUAUUAGAGUUGGUUCCUCACAUAUUAUCCUAAACUGAGCGUACAUUGAUUAUUUGAGGGCUUAAACGAAUUCAAAUGAAAAAGUAACAACUACAAAGUUUCAUAAGUUUUCAAGCUCUACAACUUUUAUAUUGGUAGUUUUUCCAUCCAAGAUCAUUUACAAAAUUUAAAUGUCAAAUUUGACAAAUUCAAAUAUAGUUUUUGAUGACAAGAUGAUUUCAAAUAAAAAAGUUAUUAAAUACAAAGUUUUAUAACUUUUUCAGACCUACAACUUUCUUUUUAGUGGUUUUUUUAUACAGAAAACUCAAAAAAUAAAUUUCAAAUUAUUUCUAUAGGCGGUUUUCUUAAGAAACCACCACUAGAAAUCUGAUUCUUAGUGUCGGUUUCUUAAGAAAACUGUCUGUAAAAAUACUUUAUUUCUAGUGGCAGUCUUGGUAGAAAAACUGCAUGUGCAAAUCCAUUUACACUAG
rnacentral:lncRNA from 1 species